GUAGUCAUAUGCUUGUCUCAAAGAUUAAGCCAUGCAUGUCUAAGUAUAAGCAAUCUAUACCGUGAAACUGCGAAUGGCUCAUUAAAUCAGUUAUCGUUUAUUUGAUAGUACCUUACUACUUGGAUAACCGUGGUAAUUCUAGAGCUAAUACAUGCUAAAAACCUCGACUUCGGAAGGGGUGUAUUUAUUAGAUAAAAAACCAAUGCCCUUCGGGGCUCCUUGGUGAUUCAUAAUAACUUAACGAAUCGCAUGGCCUUGUGCCGGCGAUGGUUCAUUCAAAUUUCUGCCCUAUCAACUUUCGAUGGUAGCGUAUUGGGCUACCAUGGUUUCAACGGGUAACGGGGAAUUAGGGUUCUAUUCCGGAGAGGGAGCCUGAGAAACGGCUACCACAUCCAAGGAAGGCAGCAGGCGCGCAAAUUACCCAAUCCCGACACGGGGAGGUAGUGACAAUAAAUACUGAUACAGGGCUCUUUUGGGUCUUGUAAUUGGAAUGAGUACAAUUUAAAUCCCUUAACGAGGAACAAUUGGAGGGCAAGUCUGGUGCCAGCAGCCGCGGUAAUUCCAGCUCCAAUAGCGUAUAUUAAAGUUGUUGCAGUUAAAAAGCUCGUAGUUGAACCUUGGGCCUGGUUGGCCGGUCCGCCUCACCGCGUGCACUGGUCCGACCGGGUCUUUCCUUCUGAGGAACUGCAUGCCCUUCACUGGGUGUGUCGGGGAAUCAGGACUUUUACUUUGAAAAAAUUAGAGUGUUCAAAGCAGGCCUAUGCUCGAAUACAUUAGCAUGGAAUAAUAGAAUAGGACGUGUGGUUCUAUUUUGUUGGUUUCUAGGACCGCCGUAAUGAUUAAUAGGGAUAGUCGGGGGCAUCAGUAUUCAAUUGUCAGAGGUGAAAUUCUUGGAUUUAUUGAAGACUAACUACUGCGAAAGCAUUUGCCAAGGAUGUUUUCAUUAAUCAGUGAACGAAAGUUAGGGGAUCGAAGACGAUCAGAUACCGUCGUAGUCUUAACCAUAAACUAUGCCGACUAGGGAUCGGGCGAUGUUAUCUUUUUGACUCGCUCGGCACCUUACGAGAAAUCAAAGU
rnacentral:rRNA from 1 species